UACGUAGGGUGCAAGCGUUGUCCGGAAUUAUUGGGCGUAAAGAGCUCGUAGGUGGCCUGUCGCGUCGGCUGUGAAAACUCGGGGCUCAACUCCGAGCUUGCAGUCGAUACGGGCAGGCUAGAGUUCGGCAGGGAGACUGGAAUUCCUGGUGUAGCGGUGAAAUGCGCAGAUAUCAGGAGGAACACCGGUGGCGAAGGCGGGUCUCUGGGCCGAUACUGACACUGAGGAGCGAAAGCGUGGGGAGCGAACAGG
rnacentral:rRNA from 1 species